CUUUCAUACUGUAAGAGCAAGCAGGCUUCAGUGAGGAGAACGGCUGCUAUGUUCAUUGGUCACCUGCUGCACCUGAACGGCAGCCUCCUCACUGGAGGGACGGUUCCCAUCUACCUAGCUCAUGUGGAUAGGUUGCUUGGGGACCAGGACCCUGCAGUCAGGCGAGUCGCCUGGCAGUUGAAAGGUUUGGUGGACAAAGCCUUCUCCCUCCAUGCUCCAGAUGGACUGGUGGCUGCCCUCCGGCGCUUGGUGGCAGGCUGUAGGUGGCCACGGUACCCCCCGGAAUAUGAAGGCCUUUCCCCCUGAUGGACCGGAAUUCCAGCUCUUCCUCCCACAGCAGAGAACACCUUGCGGCCCCACAGAGAAAGACCCUUAGGGUGCCCUACCA